rnacentral:rRNA from 1 species
UCCUACGGGGGGCAGCAGUGGGGAAUAUUGGACAAUGGGGGCAACCCUGAUCCAGCAAUUCCGCGUGUGUGAAGAAGGCUUGCGGGUUGUAAAGCACUUUCAGUAGAGAAGAAAGGCGUCGGGUUAAUAACCUGGCGUCUUGACGUAACCUACAGAAGAAGCACCGGCUAACUCCGUGCCAGCAGCCGCGGUAAUACGGAGGGUGCGAGCGUUAAUCGGAAUUACUGGGCGUAAAGCGCGCGUAGGCGGCUACGUAAGUUGGAUGUGAAAGCCCCGGGCUUAACCUGGGAAUUGCAUCCAAAACUGCGUGACUAGAGUAUGUGAGAGGGAAGGGGAAUUCCGGGUGUAGCGGUGAAAUGCGUAGAUAUCCGGAGGAACACCAGUGGCGAAGGCGCCCUCCUGGCACAAUACUGACGCUGAGGUGCGAAAGCGUGGGGAGCGAACAGGAUUAGAUACCCUGGUAGUCCACGCCGUAAACGAUGAGAACUAGAUGUCAGGAGGGUUAGCCUCUUGGUGUCGCAGCUAACGCAUUAAGUUCUCCGCCUGGGGAGUACGGCCGCAAGGUUGAAACUCAAAGGAAUUGACGG